rnacentral:rRNA from 1 species
GACGAACGCUGGCGGCGUGCUUAACACAUGCAAGUCGUACGGUAAGGCCCUUUCGGGGGUACACGAGUGGCGAACGGGUGAGUAACACGUGAGUAACCUGCCCACAACUUUGGGAUAACGCUAGGAAACUGGUGCUAAUACUGGAUAUGUGCUCCUGCUGCAUGGUGGGGGUUGGAAAGCUCCGGCGGUUGUGGAUGGACUCGCGGCCUAUCAGCUUGUUGGUGGGGUAGUGGCCUACCAAGGCGGCGACGGGUAGCCGGCCUGAGAGGGUGACCGGCCACAUUGGGACUGAGAUACGGCCAGGACUCCUACGGGAGGAGGCAGGGGGGAUUCUUGCAAAAGGGGCGCAAGCUGGAGCCAGCAACCCCGGGGGGGGGAGGACGGCCUUGGGGUUGAAACCCGUUUUCAGCGGGGCGAAAUCUUUUUGUGAGGGUACCUGAAAAAGAGGCCCGGGCAAACUAGGUC